UACAGAGGGGGCAAGCGUUGUUCGGAAUUACUGGGCGUAAAGGGCGCGUAGGCGGCCUUCUAAGUCGAACGUGAAAUCCCCGGGCUCAACCCGGGAACUGCGUCCGAUACUGGAAGGCUUGAAUCCGGGAGAGGGAUGCGGAAUUCCUGGUGUAGCGGUGAAAUGCGCAGAUAUCAGGAGGAACACCGAUGGCGAAGGCAGCUCGCUGGGACGGUACUGACGCUGAGACGCGAAAGCGUGGGGAGCAAACAGG
rnacentral:rRNA from 1 species